rnacentral:misc_RNA from 1 species
UUCCUGCAACAAACAUCAUG